GUGCGGUUCUGGGCAGCUCUGCUGCAGGGUCCAGCCCUCCGACCACCCGGGGCUCCCACAGACGAUGCCAGCUUCCCCCAGGACCAGCUCUCUGGAAGUGCAUUCAAGGCGUUUAGCAGCAUUGCCUUUUUAAACAGGUGUUUUGUUUUGUUUUACAACUAGGAAGAGACUACUUGUUCAUUUAUAGGAAAUUUAGAGAAAUACAGGAGAGUAAGAAAAAGUAUCACUUCAAGUUUUACUGUUCAGAGAUAUCAAUUGUUAACAUUUC